rnacentral:lncRNA from 10 species
UGCAUCGCUGCGGAAAGCAGGGCGCAUGCAGGCGGAGCGGAGGAGCCCCUGUGGGAGGGGGGCAACCAGGAUGGGGGCUCUGUGAGCGUGAACUAGAGAACCCAGAAAGACACACAGUCCCUGGGAACCUGGAAGCUACCGUGUUCCUGCUGCACCCUUACGUGUGUACUCUGCAAGGUGCUGAUUCCACAGGGACUUCCUGAGAAGGGCGGAGUGGCUCCCAGCGGACGGGAAUUAGAGACCGCCUGAGAACAGGAAACCUACCUCCUCUAUUUCUGGGUUCCCAGUGUCCUGCCCAGAGCCCAUCAUGUGGCAGAAGCUCAGGACACAAAUGUCAGGGGCAGAAGACUAAGUCCUUGCUCUGGGCAGGGGUCAGGACGUGUGCAGCUCCUUGGCCCCAGAAUUGUUUCCCUCCUGCCUCACUCCCUGGUGUAGAAUUUGGCCCAGACGCUCCCUGCCAUGUGACUUGGCAGGAGCUCCCUCUAGAGGAGGGGUAGUGAUAUAGCUGUAAAUCUCACGUUGAGGCUGGGCGCGUUGGCUCAAGCCUGUAAUCCCAGCACUUUGGGAGGCUGAGGCAGGCGGAUCACCUGAAGCCAGGAGUUCGAGACCAGCCUGCCCAACAUGGUGAAACCCUGUCUGUACUAAAAAUAUUAAAAAAAUUAGCUGGGCAUGGUGGUGCAUGCCUGUAAUCCCAGCUACUUGGGAGGCUGAGGCAGGAGAAUCGCUUGAACCCAGGAAGCAGAGGUUGCAGUGAGCUGAGAUCGUGCCACUGCACUCCAGCCUGGGCAACAGAGCGAGACUCCAUUAAAAAAAAAAAAAAACCUCAUGUUGAAAUGUGAUCCCCAAUGCUGGCGGUGGGGCCUGGUGGGAGGUGUUUGGAUCAUGGGGUGGAUUUCUCAUGAAUGGUUUAGCACCAUCCUCUUGGUGCCGUUCUUGAGACAGUGAGUGAACUCUCUCGAGAUCUUGUUUAAAAGAGUGUGGCACCUCCCUCCAUGUCUCUUGCUCCCACUCUUGCCAUGUGAGAUGCCUGCUCCCCCUUCACUUCAGUCACAAUUGUAAACUUCCUGAGGCCUUCACCAGAAGCUAAUGCUGGCACUAUGCUUCUUGUACAGCUUAGAGAACCAUGAGCCAAUUAAACUUCUUUUCUUUAUAAAU